GACGAACGCUGGCGGCGUGCCUAAUACAUGCGAGUCGAACGCUGAAGGAGGAGCUUGCUUCUCUGGAUGAGUUGCGAACGGGUGAGUAACGCGUAGGUAACCUGCCUGGUAGCGGGGGAUAACUAUUGGAAACGAUAGCUAAUACCGCAUAAGAGUAGAUGUUGCAUGACAUUUGCUUAAAAGGUGCAAUUGCAUCACUACCAGAUGGACCUGCGUUGUAUUAGCUAGUUGGUGAGGUAACGGCUCACCAAGGCGACGAUACAUAGCCGACCUGAGAGGGGGAUCGGCCACACUGGGAGUGAGACACGGCCCAGACGCCUACGGGAGGCAGCAGUAGGGAAUCUUCGGCAAGGGACGGAAGUCUGACCGAGCAACGCCGCGUGAGGGAAGAAGGGUGUCGGAUCGGAAAGCUCGGUUGUAAGAGAAGAACGAGUGUGAGAGUGGAAAGUUCACACUGUGACGGUAGCUUACCAGAAAGGGACGGCUAACUACGUG
rnacentral:rRNA from 1 species